GAUGAACGCUGGCGGCGUGCCUAAUACAUGCAAGUCGAACGCCUCACUUCGGUGAAGAGUGGCGAACGGGUGAGUAAUACAUAAGUAACCUGGCAUCUACAGGGGGAUAACUGAUGGAAACGUCAGCUAAGACCGCAUAGGUGUAGAGAUCGCAUGAACUCUAUAUGAAAAGUGCUACGGGACUGGUAGAUGAUGGACUUAUGGCGCAUUAGCUGGUUGGUAGGGUAACGGCCUACCAAGGCGACGAUGCGUAGCCGACCUGAGAGGGUGACCGGCCACACUGGGACUGAGACACGGCCCAGGCUCCUACGGGAGGCAGCAGUAGGGAAUUUUCGGCAAUGGGGGAAACCCUGACCGAGCAACGCCGCGUGAAGGAAGAAGUAAUUCGUUAUGUAAACUUCUGUCAUAGAGGAAGAACGGUGGAUAUAGGGAAUGAUAUCCAAGUGACGGUACUCUAUAAGAAAGCCACGGCUAACUACGUGCCAGCCGCCGCAGUAA
rnacentral:rRNA from 1 species